AGUGGGAGCUUCGGCGCAAGU
rnacentral:snRNA from 1 species